rnacentral:lncRNA from 1 species
CGAGCCCCCGGGGCCUCCUCACCUCAGGGGUUCCAGCCCCCCAUUCCCCCUCGCCUCUCGAUUGUAUCCGUGUAAAAUCAUCUUGGGGGCACAACCGCCCCCCGAAACCCCCUUCCGAAGGAGCCUGAGCCGCCUUCCAGUGGGGCACAGGGGCGGUUCCCGGGGGGAAUCCUCGGGGUUUGGGUCGGUUGGUGUCUGGGGUCUGUCCCGGGAGGUGACACUGGUUUCCUCUCUCCCCCCCAGAUCCCAGCUCUGGGGCAGGAUGGGGUCCUGCAGGCGCUGGUGCUUGGAGAGGGGCAGUGCUCGGACCCUGGGAUCAGCGAGGAGCAGCUCCGGGCCCAGGAGGAGUGGGAGGCUCUGGAAGAGAUCCAGUCAGGUGUGGAUCCUGGGACCGACCUGCGUGGGACAGGAAUGCUGGGGCUGAUGCAGAUCCUGUUCUUCGUCCUGGACUCCCGAACAUUGUCGCUGGCCAGGGAGAUCUUCCAGCUCUCCCAGCAUGAAACCCAGGCAUGGCCUUCCCCCUCCUCCCUGCAGGGGGAUCUCCCUUGGAAUUCCCAGUUCUCCGGGAAAGGGAAGAACAAGAACCUCUCCAGGGAUUUUUUUGGGAUGCUGAACCACCUCAGGCUGGUGAGGGGAGGAAGGUGGUGCCCAAAGAGCCCUGAUCCAGGCUGGAGCUGA